rnacentral:rRNA from 1 species
UAGGGAAUAUUGGACAAUGGGGGCAACCCUGAUCCAGCCAUGCCGCGUGAGUGAAGAAGGCCCUCGGGUUGUAAAGCUCUUUUGUCCGGAAAGAAAAGCUUCGGGUUAAUACCCCGGGGUUCUGACGGUACCGGAAGAAUAAGCACCGGCUAACUUCGUGCCAGCAGCCGCGGUAAUACGAAGGGUGCAAGCGUUACUCGGAAUUACUGGGCGUAAAGCGUGCGUAGGUGGUUGUUUAAGUCUGAUGUGAAAGCCCUGGGCUCAACCUGGGAAUAGCAUUGGAAACUGGGCAGCUAGAGUGCGGUAGAGGGUAGUGGAAUUCCCGGUGUAGCAGUGAAAUGCGUAGAGAUCGGGAGGAACAUCUGUGGCGAAGGCGACUGCCUGGACCAGCACUGACACUGAGGCACGAAAGCGUGGGGAGCAAACA